rnacentral:lncRNA from 1 species
CCCCGGGGCGACCGUCGGCUGAGGGGGGAAGGAGCUCCGCUGCUGGAAUGGCGGGCGGCGGUACGCCGGCGGGUGGCAUCCUCCAGAGGACCUGCAAGAAGCCGGUGGCCGGGGUUCCCGGCGCCGGCCCUCCGAUGCUUAAGUCAGAGGAAAAAAUAAGAGGGAAAAAAGGAGGAGGAUAUUUCUUUUUCGGGUUUUUUUGUCUCCCUCUUCCCCCCACGGAGGGGUUCCCCUUUAUAGAGGGAUAUUAUAUUACCUGGGAGGUGACGGGGCAGAUUGUUCUCUUUGUGAUAAUUGAGCACGAUCAUGUACA